AUUGAACGCUGGCGGCAUGCCUUACACAUGCAAGUCGAACGGCAGCACGGGAGCAAUCCUGGUGGCGAGUGGCGAACGGGUGAGUAAAGUAUCGGAACGUACCUUUCAGUGGGGGAUAACGUAGCGAAAGUUACGCUAAUACCGCAUACAUCCUACGGGGGAAAGCAGGGGAUCUUCGGACCUUGCGCUAUUAGAUGAGCCUAUGUCGGAUUAGCUAGUUGGUGAGGUAAAGGCUCACCAAGGCGACGAUCCGUAGCUGGUCUGAGAGGAUGAUCAGCCACACUGGGACUGAGACACGGCCCAGACUCCUACGGGAGGCAGCAGUGGGGAAUAUUGGACAAUGGGCGAAAGCCUGAUCCAGCCAUGCCGCGUGGUAGAUGAAGGCCCUCUGGGUUGUAAUACCUUUUAUCUGGAAGAAAUAUCUCGUUCUCGAGAAACUGACGGUACCAGAUGAAUAAGCACCGGCUAACUCCGUGCCAGCAGC
rnacentral:rRNA from 1 species